GCCCCCAUUCGCCACAACUAGAGAAAGCCCGCACGCAGCAAUGAAGACCCAAGCAGCCAAAAAAUAAAUAAAAUUAAACAAUAAUAAUAAUAAAGUUGCUUUUAAAAAAAAUGACUCAUGCUUUGACCACUAAUCCCUGUGUCUCCACUAAAGCCUGUUUUGUUUUGUUUUUUUUGCAGUACGCGGGCCUCUCACUGUUGUGGCCUCUCCGGUCACGGAGCCCAGGCUCCUGAUGCGCAGGCCCAGCGGCCACAGCUCACAGGCCCAGCUGCUCCCCGGCACAUGGGAUCCUCCCGGACCAGGGCACGAACCCAUGUCCCCUGCAUUGGCAGGCAGACUCUCAACCACUGCGCCACCAGGGUAGCCCUAGAGCCUAUUUUUAAAUUCUCCUCUUGGCUGCUCUUUUCUAGGGGUCUCAGUUGCUUUCUUCCAGGGCUCUGGACUCUGGGCAUUUCCUUGACUUCAUGUUUUUUCUGUCUGCUUGCUUCUCCCAGCAAAUUCCAUGUGGAGGAUGGAGCAGAGCCCAAAGAGCAGGUAUUCACAGACCUGUUUUCUCAAGCUCUUCCCACUUAUGUACUCAACUGGGACUGUCCACAUGACAAUGGCAGAAUGCUUUUUUUAUCGAUGUUUUCAUACUAUGAGAGCACAGCCAUGGUUUACACAAGGUCGCUGCGUGUCAGGACAAGGAAGCUGGGCCUUUGUCCCUGCUACACUCUGAGGAAGAAGGGAAGAAUUCAAGCCGGUGAAUGAGCAAAUGAAGGCUCUCCAGAGAGCUGCUGCUUUCCUAUACAUCAGCCUUUAUCAUGAGACCCUCUAAGGGUUCUACCCAAAACACAAAGCCCGUUGUAGGAAGGCAAAACAGGUAGGACAGCCCCAGCCUAAGGAGACCACCUGUAGUUGCUUCACCAAAGGGUUCAUUGUCCCACUGUUAGAACAGACACCUGAAACCAAGCCCGGGUUAGAUUUCCAUGCCACUGCAGCCCGAGCUGAGUGGUCACUCAGCCCAGGGCCUGCCAGCCCACCAGGUGGGUACCAGCUGCCUGGGAACCAGCUGUUCUCACCCAGAACGUCCCUUGACCCAACUCCAACUUUACCCUGAGGUGCCCUAAAAAGUGCCCCCCCCCAGUCAAGCUUUCCUGAAUGGAAACCCACUAAAGAGAAGCUUUCUUACCUGAGAAGGUCCUGGUGCCCAGCUGUGGAAAAAACACUGAGUUCCCGCAGACGUGACAGGGACUCACAGGGCAGCUCUGUUGCUUUUAAAAGAAGAAAGGUGACUUCAUCUCUGGUGCCGUGGAGUUUAGAAGAGCAACAAGUGCUUCCUGGCUGAGUCAACUCGGCCUCGCCAGUGAUGACUCCAUCCAAAUCAUGCAGCCGCUGCCCAGACACGCUCAGCCUUCAGAAGGUGAAGCUUUGGAAUCUGAUUUGCCCUGUUGUUUUCAAAGAGCUUCAGAAAGUCCGGAAACACUAACCGCCUUCACCGGCACCAGGGGUGGGGAAACCACACACUUAUUUCCCUAAGUCAUAUCAUUAUCUCCCAAGAAUCCAACAUUCUAAGGAAGGAAAACAGGUAUUUAAGCGUCUGAGGGGUAAACAUUCUUGGGGAAGGAGGGGAGAGAGAAGAAGCAAAGAUCUUUCAGGCAGGACGAGGAGCAGUAAGAAGCUGGAAAGGAUCACUGUGCUGAGAGAUUUGCAGACCUGGUGAUUUGUAAGCCUACAAAGAUGACAAAUAGGUGAUGGUCUGGAGUUUGCAGAGGGGAAAGUAUUCAGUUCUGCAAAGGGAAUGAGUCACUGUAUGAAAGGAAAGUUGACAGUCUCUUUAAUGAAGGCGACCUAUUUUUAUUUUCUUUUUAUUGCCUGUGGUAUCACUCAACUCAUUUGGGGUCAUUUGUAACAUUAAUAUAUUAGCUCAUAACGUGUCCACAUUUCACCAAAUUUGGGGAAAGAGACAUUUGUUUAAGUCAGGAAUUUUCUCUUUUGUAAGCUAAAGGUGAGGCUGGAGCAAUUAGAUUUGUAACAUGGGAUUCAAGGUCAUGUGAAGCUACCCAGGAAGCCAGGCACCUCUGCUUGAUGUCAUGCCCUUGGGCUAAACUUUGGGCAGACCUUCUGGCUGUGGUGCCAGGACAAGGCAUGGUAAUGGCUGUGACCUCCAUUGGAAGUAGGGCAGAGGGUUGAGCUUAGCAGCUGACUGCCCUUUCUAUCACAUCUCUACUUCAGGAGAGUGUACAGUGACUUGGGGUCCCUAGGCAUGUGUCCAAUUUCUUGCCGAACUAUUUUGAGGCUUUGGGGAUCUUCUUGUGUCAAGCUUGACUCCAGAGAGGGUAAAACAAGAAAAAAAUUAUCUUUCUGUUGAGAUGGAGAUAUUCAGUUCCAACAUUAGAAAGGGGUUUUUGAAUUCAGAGAUUUAAGAAAUGUCAACAUGGCUUGUAGAAGGAUUUGCAAGUCUUCUAGUCAGGGUGUAAGUAGUGAGAAACAUAGAAGAGGAGCAGAGUUUCAUCAAUGUUGAGAUCAAAAAAGGGCAGGGGGCAUUUUUAUUCGGUUGAUCAUAGACUCCUCAGAGCCUUGCACAGAGAGUAGCACACAGCAGGUGCUCAGUAGAUAGAGAAUAAAUGGUGUCCGACAGCCCCUUCUGUUCCAGAUUUCUAGAACAGAUCUGUUGAGGACUUUUUGUUAAAUUGAAGCAUAAUUGACAUACAACAUCGUUGUAGUUUUGUAUGUGUUCAUCAUAGUGUACAUCAUAGUGAUUUGAUAUUUAUAUACAUUG